rnacentral:rRNA from 1 species
UGGGGAAUAUUGGGCAAUGGAGGAAACUCUGACCCAGCAACGCCGCGUGAGUGAAGAAGGUUUUCGGAUUGUAAAGCUCUGUGAUGGGGGACGAAAAAAAUGACGGUACCCCAAAAGCAAGCCACGGCAAACUACGUGCCAGCAGCCGCGGUAAUACGUAGGUGGCAAGCGUUGUCCGGAAUGACUGGGCGUAAAGGGUGCGUAGGUGGUUAAAUAAGUUGGAAGUGAAAUGCCGAGGCUCAACCUCGGAACUACUACCAAAACUAUAUAACUUGAGUGCAGGAGAGGUAAGCGGAAUUCCUAGUGUAGCGGUGGAAUGCGUAGAUAUUAGGAGGAACAUCAGAGGCGAAGGCGGCUUACUGGACUGUAACUGACACUGAGGCACGAAAGCGUGGGGAGCAAACA